rnacentral:rRNA from 1 species
AGUGAACGCUGGCGGUAGGCCUAACACAUGCAAGUCGAACGGCAGCACAGUAAUAGCUUGCUCUUACGGGUGGCGAGUGGCGGGCGGGUGAGGAAUACAUCGGAAUCUACUUUUUCGUGGGGGAUAACGUAGGGACACUUACGCUAAUACCGCAUACGACCUACGGGUGAAAGCAGGGGAUCUUCGGCCCUUGCGCGAUUGAAUGAGCCGAUGUCGGAUUAGCUAGUUGGCGGGGUAAAGGCCCACCAAGGCGACGAUCCGUAGCUGGUCUGAGAGGAUGAUCAGCCACACUGGAACUGAGACACGGUCCAGACUCCUACGGGAGGCAGCAGUGGGGAAUAUUGGACAAUGGGCGCAAGCCUGAUCCAGCCAUACCGCGUGGGUGAAGAAGGCCUUCGGGUUGUAAAGCACUUUUGUUGGGAAAGAAAAGCAGCAGGUUAAUACCCCGCUGUUCUGACGGUACCUAAAGAAUAAGCACCGGCUAACUUCGUG